rnacentral:rRNA from 1 species
UGAGGAAUAUUCCACAAUGGGCGAAAGCCUGAUGGAGCGACGCCGCGUGAAGGAAGAAGCCCUUCGGGGUGUAAACUUCUUUUCUAAGGGAUGAUAUGCACGGGUAACCGUGAUAGGACAGUACCUUAGGAAUAAGCCUCGGCUAACUACGUGCCAGCAGCCGCGGUAAUACGUAGGAGGCGAGCGUUGUCCGGAUUUACUGGGCGUAAAGCGCGCGCAGGCGGCACCGUAAGUAUGGUGUGAAAUCUCCCUGCUCAACGGGGAGGGUGCACUGUAAACUGCGGAGCUAGAGGACGGUAGAGGGGGGUAGAAUUGCUGGUGUAGCGGUGAAAUGCGUAGAGAUCAGCAGGAAUACCCGUGGCGAAGGCGGCCCCCUGGGCCGAACCUGACGCUGAGGCGCGAAGGCUAGGGGAGCGAACGG